rnacentral:rRNA from 1 species
UACGAAGGGGGGCUAGCGUUGCUCGGAAUUACUGGGCGUAAAGGGCUCGUAGGCGGCCAACUAAGUCAGACGUGAAAUCCCUAGACUCAACCUAGGAACUGCGUCUGAUACUGGAUGGCUUGAAUCCGGGAGAGGGAUGCAGAAUUCCAGGUGUAGCGGUGAAAUGCGUAGAUAUCUGGAGGAAUACCGGUGGCGAAGGCGGCAUCCUGGACCGGCAUUGACGCUGAGGAGCGAAAGCCAGGGGAGCAAACGGG